AUGGAAUGAAGUGCUUCAGUUUUCCUGAAUGUGCUAUUCCUUGUGGAGGCCACGUGCAGCUCCUGGGACCACAAAGGAUAUGGAGUCUGCAGUGAAAGCUAAAUCCAGCUAAAGUCUGAGGAGAAAAAACCCUUUGCCUGUCACCACCACCACCACUAAGAUCCUUCCCAAAAGCCACCUGUCCAAUAAGGAGCUGG
rnacentral:lncRNA from 12 species